rnacentral:rRNA from 1 species
GAUGAACGCUGGCGGCGUGCUUUAACACAUGCAAGUCGAGCGAAGCGAUUUUGAGGAAGUUUUCGGAUGGAAUUAAGAUUGACUGAGCGGCGGACGGGUGAGUAACGCGUGGGUAACCUGCCUCAUACAGGGGAUAACAGUUAGAAAUGACUGCUAAUACCGCAUAAGCGCACAGGACCGCAUGGUCCGGUGUGAAAAACUCCGGUGGUAUGAGAUGGACCCGCGUCUGAUUAGGUAGUUGGUGGGGUAACGGCCACAAGCCGACGAUCAGUAGCCGACCUGAGAGGGUGACCGGCCACAUUGGGACUGAGACACGGCCAAACUCCUACGGGAGGCAGCAGUGGGAAUAUUGCACAAU